GCACUGUUGACGAGUCCCAUACUAGGACGAAACGGCCGUCCAGUGC
rfam:Schistosoma curassoni strain Dakar, Senegal genome assembly, scaffold: SCTD_scaffold0000589